rnacentral:misc_RNA from 1 species
UGUUCUCUCUUCUCUGCCUCUGACUCAUGUUAGGGAAACUUUCUGAUUUUAGCUCAGCCUUAAAUGUUCUAUGAACUUAUUGUAAUUAUACAAUACAUUGUAUAAUUAUUAUGAUACUUAUCUAUAGAUAAGGAUAGACAAGGAAUAAUAUGGCGGCGCUCAGUAGUCUCCGAGCUGUUCGGAGCUCCCAGUGGAGUGAAAAUUAAAUCGAAGAAUAAUUGAAAUAGUGAAUAAUGAAGUGUUUAGAUACUGUAAAAGUAACCACAAAAGCUAAGUCUAUUCUAAAGAGAUGAUUGGUCGACGGUGUACACUAAUCGCACUUGGCGGGCUUUUAAUUCUUGUACUCACAAUAAAUGUUUAUUUUAUUCGAAUGAUUGUUGAGAAUUCAUCUGAAACAUCAUUUUCAAGAAAUUUACCAGUCUCUGAUGAAAAGAUUAAAGAUGCAAAUACUGUGGAUAACAAUAAAAUUGAACCAACGAAAAAGUCAAUAAUUCGAGAAAUUGAGGAGAAAAUUAAAGCAGAAAUGCGAUUAUUGCCAUCAAAGUAUUUUAAACGAAAUUCUAGUUAUGUUAUUUUACUUGAUAGAUUGUUGACAGAGUUAAAAGUAUUGGAUAAUACCCAAAAUGAUCUUUGGAGUAUUCCUAAUGUUAAUUGGCCAGAUGCUCAUCAUUUGUUACCUCCAGUUGCUCCUGAGUUAGGCACAAUAUUGAAUGCUUUAAGAAAAACAAAGAUAGUUAAAGCAGCAAAUGCUCAAGUGGGUACACAACUUAAAUUAAUGCUCACUUUAGAACCCAAUGUCAAAGCUUUAUUUAAGCCUCAAUGGUACAGUAGAGAGACGAUAUUACAUGGUCCUGUCUAUUUUGGAAAAGAUAGACAUAAUGCAGAAGUUGUAGCAUUCCAUUUAUCUUCUCUUCUUGGAUUGAGACGAGUUCCAUUAACAGUUAUAAGAAAGUUAAAUCUAAAAGGAUUGCGUGAUAUAGCAACGCCUGAUCUUCAAGCUACUAUGUAUGAAGUAGGAAAUGAAACUUGUUUUUAUGGAAUUUGCCAUUAUUGUUCUGCAGCAGAUCCCAUAUGUAGUAAAAAUUAUAUGUUAGAAGGUGCUGUAAUAUUAUGGUUACCUUCAACACUUAAACUAUUUAAGCAUCGUCAUCCUUGGCAACGAACUUAUAAGCGUAAUAAGUUAGCACAAUGGGAGACUAAUAAGAAUUAUUGUGAUAAAGUGAAAGAAAGCAAAACUUAUGCACCACAUGCUUCUAGUCGUCUAUUAGAUUUAAUAGAUACUGCAAUAUUUGAUUUUUUGAUGGAUAAUGGAGAUCGACAUCAUUACGAGUUGAUGCAAAAUAAUUUUCAUAAUCCGGCAGCUUUAUUAAUUGAUAAUGGAAAGAGUUUAGCAAAUCCGGAUAUCGAUCACAUUGAUAUUUUAGCACCUCUUUACGAAUGUUGUAUAAUAUCAAGAGUCAAGUAGUUGCUGACGUAAAAAGUUAUAAGUGAUAGACUCAGUUUCGGAGAAAAAAAUAGUACUAUUAUUGGAGAUGUAGAGAAAUUACUUUUUUAUAAUUUUUUAAAAUAACUUUAUUAAAGAUCAUCAUUUGAGCCUUAUAUGAAUCAAAAGAUCCAUAAAACUACUUGGGAUAGAUUACAACUCCUUGGAGGUGGAGCUUUAAGUACUUCUUUAGGACAGCUUUUAGCUCAUGAAGCCAAAGAAGCUGAUGUACUCCCUCUUAUU